UACGUAGGGUGCAAGCGUUAAUCGGAAUUACUGGGCGUAAAGCGUGCGCAGGCGGUUGUGCAAGACAGAUGUGAAAUCCCCGGGCUCAACCUGGGAAUUGCAUUUGUGACUGCACGGCUAGAGUGUGUCAGAGGGGGGUAGAAUUCCACGUGUAGCAGUGAAAUGCGUAGAGAUGUGGAGGAAUACCGAUGGCGAAGGCAGCCCCCUGGGAUAACACUGACGCCUCAUGCACGAAAGCGUGGGGAGCAAACAGG
rnacentral:rRNA from 1 species